UCCGGUUGAUCCUGCCGGAGGUUACUGCUAUCGAGGUUCGACUAAGCCAUGCGAGUCGAAUGUAGCAAUACAUGGCGUACUGCUCAGUAACACGUGGACAACCUACCCUUGAGACGGGGAUAAACCCGGGAAACUGGGUAUAAUACCCGAUAGAUCUCGACUGCUGGAAUGCAUCGAGCUCCAAAGCUCCGGCGCUCAAGGAUGGGUCUGCGGCCUAUCAGGUAGUAGUGGGUGUAGCGUACCUACUAGCCUACGGCGGGUACGGGUUGUGAGAGCAAGAGCCCGGAGAUGGAUUCUGAGACACGAAUCCAGGCCCUACGGGGUGCAGCAGGCGCGAAAACUUUACAAUGCCGGCAACGGCGAUAAGGGGACCUCGAGUGCCAGGUUACAAAUCUGGCUGUCGUGAUGCCUAAAAAGCAUUGCAUAGCAAGGGCCGGGCAAGACCGGUGCCAGCCGCCGCGGUAACACCGGCGGCUCGAGUGGUAACCGUUAUUAUUGGGUCUAAAGGGUCUGUAGCCGGCCGGAUAAGUCUCUUGGGAAAUCUGGCAGCUUAACUGUCAGGCUUUCAGGAGAUACUGUCUGGCUCGAGGCCGGGAGAGGUGAGAGGUACUUCAGGGGUAGGGGUGAAAUCUUGUAAUCCUUGAAGGACCACCAGUGGCGAAGGCGUCUCACCAGAACGGACCUGACGGCAAGGGACGAAAGCUAGGGGCACGAACCGGAUUAGAUACCCGGGUAGUCCUAGCCGUAAACGAUACUCGCUAGGUGUCGGCCACGGUGCGACCGUUGUCGGUGCCGUAGGGAAGCCGUGAAGCGAGCCACCUGGGAAGUACGGCCGCAAGGCUGAAACUUAAAGGAAUUGGCGGGGGAGCACCACAACGGGUGGAGCUUGCGGUUUAAUUGGAUUCAACGCCGGAA
rnacentral:rRNA from 1 species